rnacentral:rRNA from 1 species
UACGGAGGGAGCUAGCGUUACUCGGAAUUACUGGGCGUAAAGCGUGCGUAGGUGGUGAGUUAAGUCUGUCGUGAAAGCCCCGGGCUCAACCUGGGAAUGGCGAUGGAUACUGGCUCGCUAGAGUGCGGUAGAGGAGAGUGGAAUUCCCGGUGUAGCAGUGAAAUGCGUAGAGAUCGGGAGGAACAUCAGUUGCGAAGGCGGAUCUCUGGGCAGUUCCUGACACUGAGGCACGAAGGCCAGGGGAGCAAACGGG